rnacentral:rRNA from 1 species
GGUGGCAUUUUAUUUUAUUAGAGGAAUUUGUCCUUUAAUCGACACCCCACGUUAGAUUUCACUUCGAUUUAAAAUUUAUAUACCGCCAUCUUAAGAAUCAAUCUCAAAACAUUACUCUAAAUAAAUAAUAAAAAGUUAGGUCAAGGUAUAGUCUACAUUGAAGAAUGAGAUGAAUUACAUUAAAAAUCACUUAAAGAUUAUUAAUAAACAUAUUAAUUUAAAUAAGAAUUUAAAAGUACUACCUAAACAAUAAUUUUAUAUGAUAAAGAUAAUAAAUGUGCACACAUCGCCCGUCGCUCUU